rnacentral:rRNA from 1 species
UACGCGAGCUGGGUUCAGAACGUCGUGAGACAGUUCGGUCCCUAUCCGUCGCAGGCGUAGGAAAUUUGAGGAGACCUGUCCUUAGUACGAGAGGACCGGGAUGGACGUACCUCUGGUGUACCAGUUGUCCUGCCAAGGGCAUGGCUGGGUAGCUAUGUACGGAAUGGAUAAGCGCUGAAAGCAUCUAAGCGCGAAGCCAACUUCAAGAUAAGAUUUCCCACCGUAAGGGUAAGAUCCCAGGAAGACUACCUGGUUGAUAGGUCGGAGGUGUAAGUGCAGCAAUGUAUGUAGCUUACCGAUACUAAUAGAUCGAGGACUUGACCAAG